CAAAUACUCCCUCCGUCCGGAAAUACUUGUCAUCAAAAUGGAUAAAAGGAAAUGUAUCUAGACGUAUUUUAGUUUUAGAUACAUCUAUUUUUAUCCAUUUUGAUGACAAGUAUUUUCGGAUGGAGGGAGUGGAAA
rnacentral:pre_miRNA from 1 species